rnacentral:misc_RNA from 1 species
GAGAGCCAAGAGAUCCGUUGCUGAAAGUUGUAUUUAAAUGCGUUAAACGCGAUUUGACAUUCUUUAAACUGAAGUAGUGUGUGAUAAAACAUAAGAAGGCUCCCAAUUUGAAGCAGAGUCAAUGAAGACCCUUACUUUGCAUCAAAAGCCGACUUACAGUGUGUGCACAGGUGUGUAAGAUGGAUAAUGAUCAGAGCGUGCACAUGCUGCUAACAGCCAGCGACAACCCCUUUCAUAAUUCAUUAAUGAUCCUU